rnacentral:tRNA from 1 species
GCACCCAUGGUUUAGUGGUAGAAUGCGAGCUUGCCAAGCUCGAGACGCGGGUUCGAUUCCCGCUGGGUGCA